rnacentral:rRNA from 1 species
UAUUGCGCAAUGGGGGCAACCCUGACGCAGCAACGCCGCGUGAAGGAUGAAGGUUUUCGGAUUGUAAACUUCUUUUAUUAAGGACGAAAAAUGACGGUACUUAAUGAAUAAGCUCCGGCUAACUACGUGCCAGCAGCCGCGGUAAUACGUAGGGAGCAAGCGUUGUCCGGAUUUACUGGGUGUAAAGGGUGCGUAGGCGGCUUUGCAAGUCAGAUGUGAAAUCUAUGGGCUCAACCCAUAAACUGCAUUUGAAACUGUAGAGCUUGAGUGAAGUAGAGGCAGGCGGAAUUCCCCGUGUAGCGGUGAAAUGCGUAGAGAUGGGGAGGAACACCAGUGGCGAAGGCGGCCUGCUGGGCUUUAACUGACGCUGAGGCACGAAAGCGUGGGUAGCAAACAGGA